UUCCCCCGCGGGUGGGCGGCGCCUGCCGACGCGCUGGUGGUCGCCCCGCCUGCGUGCGGCCAUCCUUCGGGCAGUGGGAGCCCGCCUGCGUCCUCGGGUCCCCGCAGCCCCCCGCGCGGGCCCGACUGGCGCGGCCGCCGGACUGUCCACCCGACCGCGGGCCCCGGCGAGCGGACCCCGCGCUCGCGGCCAGUUUGCCUCCCCCAAAAUGAGAAGAUUGGGGAGGCACUUCAAGGGCCGGAAGCCUGAAUCUGCCUGUGCCCCUGGCGGUAGGACGAGCACCUGGCCGGCGGGCCUGUCUCCGCGGCUACUUCCGGAGCUACUCUCCCCGAGAUGGCAGAAACUAGACCCGGGUCCCACCGCGCUCACCUCACAGGCUCCCUCUUGGCGCCCCAAACCAAGCAGAAGCCACAGUCUAUAGAGAUCCAGUAACCUGUGACAUGAGAGAGACUACUCAGCCAUAAAAAGGAACGAAGUUGGGCCAUUUGCAGAGACGUGGCUGGACCUAGAGACUGUCAUGCAGAGUGAGUUCUAACGUCUCCUUUGAAGCCUAUGUGACAACUUCAGCCUACACUGCUCAUUCCUACCUGAGUUUCUACCCAAUCAUGGGUGUGUACUGGGGUGGCCCUAUGUGUCCACGUUUGCCUGGAAGAAUUGUGAUCGUUGUUGUACAAUUGUUGUCUUGCUAUUAUGAUGCACAGUGCCCCCUUUUACUCGCAGAAAUAUCUCAAUCUAGACAAUAAAUAAUAAGGUCAUCCUACAUAUAUCAUAUCAUUUAUUGUAGGAAGAUACAGUUUAUGUCGUGUCUUAACUCUCCAAUUAAAUCAUGGUCCUUGAGGGUGGCAAAAUCAAUCUUAAAACUUCAUAGUUCUCUUCUUUCAUAAGUUGCUAACUUAACAUACACAAGCACAGUUGCUUAUGUGUGUGCGACAAAACAAUUUUGGAGAUGAGCCUUUGGCUGGGUUUUGUUUCCCAACUAAAUCCUACUUUUAGCUCUAAAGACGAAAAUUGCAUUUUAAAUUAAUUCAUAUAGUUAACCUCAGUCACCGUGCCUGAAAAAUACUAUGUAUUUAAUAUACUGGAAGAUGAAUGAAUAAUGUACCAGAAUAUGCCAGACUACAGCCAACAUUCCUAAAAUAUUUCAAUAAUGUAACGUAACAGGAUACUUCAAGUAUAACCAGGAAGUGGAUCUACCAACAACUACCAAGAAAAAUAUGUAUUCUAAUGUUUUUACUAUUAUACACAGUUAGGUGAUGAUAGACUCACUGUUUUCCACACACAACUAUCAUGGACUACAUGCCCUGAAACAGCCCAUAGUGAUAAUAAAAAACAGUUACCCUGAAGAGGGAAAAAAGAAAAAGACAUUUUAAAAAAUCAUCCUAUUCUUUACAGUAUGUUUGUAGUCAACUCAUUAUUCAAAAGUGAUAGCAAACUCUCCUGUUUAAGAAGAAUACAUUCUGUCUGGCCAUGAAGACGACGAUUGUUCCAGGCUGCCUGUGCUUCACAGGCCUAUUCAGCUCACACAGACAAUUUGCAUCAACCUGUGCCUAGUGAUACUGUCACUCAGUGGUGCCCCAGAUAGCCACAACCUCAUGUGCUCUUAACAUUGAGGUUCUCAUUUAUAAAUUAAUGUCUCUGGAAUACUCAUGAAUUCUUCCUUGAAUAUAACUGUUUUAUUCAUUAUUAUUUAUUAAAUUUUAAAACCAUAAUAAAUGAUUUUACGUAGGUUUAGUGUGACAAAAUUAUUUAGCAGCAGAACUCUACAAAACAAGCAGGAAAUGAAAAAGGCAGACAUGUAAAUGCAUCAACGUCAGCAUAUAAUAUUAAGUACAAUUAUCAGGAAAAUAUAGCACAAAAUUCUGCAUCUAUGCAGGGUGUACCAUCGAAGCUAAGAACGUUAUUAAUUAACGUAAUCACUAAGUGUUCAUCAUUGGGGGUGAAGGCAUCGUGCUAUUCAUUUAAAAAAACACAAGAACUGUAUGUUCAUAAAAGUUGUUACUGAAUAUAAAUAUAAAUCCAGCAGCAUCAAAACAUUUAGCAUUACAAUACAGAGAGCAAAUGCAGUGGCAGCAGAUGGUUUCAAAGAGGGGAAAUAAAGAAGAAAACUACACAGUAGUAAAGUACAAAUUAAAACUAAAAGGAAAAAUUUUACAAAGAAAUAGUUAAGGAAAAGGGCAGAUGAACUCCUGGGAAAAAGUAAAUGACUAACAGAGAGCAAAAGAAGGAAUAUUUAUAAAGAGGAAAGACUGUUAUGAGCAGAUUAGACAAUUGUCUAGAAACAUGGACAUGAAAAGAGUAGAAUGCAUCUUUGCCAGAGAAACAAUUCAAGAACUAAAGAACCCCUGGCACUGAGCUAGAAAAUAUCACUUACGCUUUCUGCAAAUUUAGAAACUUAGGUUCAGAGUUAAAGAAAAAUUGUCUAAGGUAUAAAAAAACAGAAGAUAGUUAGAAAUCCAAAUAAAUUGGUGCAGGUCAGUUAAGUAUGACUAUCUUCUGACUUGGACUAUAUGCUAUACGCUGAGCAAUGCUCUAUUUUUUAAAUCAAUAAAAUAGCCUACGCUCAUGUCUAUUAAACAAAAUCCACAAGAAUAAGUGAGGAAUUUCAGAAGUUUCUAACAUAUAUCAACAAUAGCUCAGAGUAACGAACACCAUAAAAUAGAUACAAAAGUCUGGGAAAGAUAUUUAAUGAGUCUCUCGAUCUCUCAUUGUAAGAACUUAAUAACAGUGUUCCUAUCACUUUGAUUUCUUAUAUUAGAGCUUAUUUUCAGAAGAUUCUUGACGUUAAUGUUUGAACAAUUACCAAUCCCUAACAUACUGUCCUUACUCUAUCUUCCGUUUUAGAAAGUACUAAUAGGGCAUAAAAAUUGCUUUCUUAGGGAAUAUAAAAAAAUUAUUUUUUCCGUUUUCUUCAAAAGUAAUUCCACAAUGCUAUGCAUUUGAUUAUGCUUUCUUGCAGCAGUUGUGGGGAAGAACUAAAUGCAUCAGGACUACAAAUAACAAAGGCAGAAUUCUACCCAAAGUUACUGUUAUGAUGAUUACCUCCUGGAGCCCAAACAGUCUUUCUUGGCACUCCUAAAUGAUAAGACUGCAAACACUCAUUUCACAUUCAAGUAUUCAGGCUACUCACUCAUGAAUGGAAUUAGUGGUUUUGAUCACAUAUACAUAAAUUUUUAUGUGCAUAGGACCUCAUGCCUUCGAGGAACAACUCUCCUGGUAGUGACUUUAAUCUAGCAAAUACUAAGUCAUCUGGAUCCUAACCACCUCUCAUUUAUAAGCUUUGAUGUCCCAAGGCUUCACGUGUAAAUCCACUGUUUGAAACCUGGAUUACAUUUCUAUAGAAAAAAGGCUAUUUACGGCAGUUAGUUUCCCAGCGAAUUCCUAAGUCUAUUUAAUCUAUUGUAAUAAUAUGACUAAAAUACACCUAAUAUGCAGUGAAAAGCAGUAACAUUAUUAGUAAUCGCAAACACCCAUAACUCUUACUGUGUGCCAGGUCAUCUUUUAGGUGUUUUUCCUAUGUUGACUCAUUUGAUCCUCACACCAACCCUAUGGGAAAGUUACUAUUACUACGCCCGUGUCUACAGAGGAGGAAACUAAGCAGAGACUAAAUAACCUACCCAAACCUGGUUAAGAAGUACCAGAGCUGGGUUUCAAUCCAACCCUGGUUCCAGGGCCUGCACUUUCAGCCACUAGGCUAAAUUUCCUAUAAUUAUUGACAAGUUUUAGUUAGUUUAGCCUGCAGAGCAUCCAAAGUUUUAAAAGUACAUCAUGGUUUUUUACUUCAAAUGAUUCAUCUGACACUUUAAAAGAUUCUUCUGAGGCUGGUUUCAUUACUUCACUCAGUCACUAUUAUUUAAUGAAUUAUUCACAUAUGUGCACGUAGAAUUUACUUCAGGAUAAGUGUUCGUGGUCAGAGCCCCUGGUCCCUGGCUGAAGCCCCUGGACUACUCCAUUUGUCUCCAAAAUGUAUGCUUCCUAAAUAAACAAAUCUGAGUUGUCCUGCUUUUUAAAAAUAAAAGUAAAAACAAAUCAAUAAAUAAUCUCUAUCAGGAAGUUAAACGGAGGAACAAUUACGAUGACUUCUACUAACCACUCCAGAAAUCCACUAAAUUGAAUAACUCUGAUUCCUGUUCUUAAUGUUGUCUUCUAUGUUGUAUUUACUGGGGGCUUGAUAGCAUCAUCUGUUCAUUUUCUGUCAAUUUCCCCCUCCACUGCUCUUGGCAACACCAAUCUUGGAGCACCAUCUCCUCACCCCAGGAAACAAAGGAACUACUAACAGAGGUUCAAAUCCAAAAGAUUCACUGGUGCGCAUACAGGACUAGUUCUGGACUAGCUGUUCUGUGAAGACAAGAAGGCAGGGGCAGGGGCGAAGGGCUGGAGGAUGGAGAGAGAGCUCAGCGAUGACUCAAACUAGAGAGAAAGAAAUGAAGAGACAGGGUCUCCAAGUUAGUUCUAGCUUCUAAAAUUACCUUUAAUUUUUAUUCAAUUUACAAAUCUGUCAAAAUGUAUCACUUGACUUUUGAUUAACUUCUUAAAUUUUA